rnacentral:rRNA from 1 species
UGGGGGAUAUUGCGCAAUGGGGGCAACCCUGACGCAGCAACGCCGCGUGAAGGAUGAAGGUUUUCGGAUUGUAAACUUCUUUUAUUAAGGACGAAAAAUGACGGUACUUAAUGAAUAAGCUCCGGCUAACUACGUGCCAGCAGCCGCGGUAAUACGUAGGGAGCAAGCGUUGUCCGGAUUUACUGGGUGUAAAGGGUGCGUAGGCGGCUUUGCAAGUCAGAUGUGAAAUCUAUGGGCUCAACCCAUAAACUGCAUUUGAAACUGUAGAGCUUGAGUGAAGUAGAGGCAGGCGGAAUUCCCCGUGUAGCGGUGAAAUGCGUAGAGAUGGGGAGGAACACCAGUGGCGAGGGCGGCCUGCUGGGCUUUAACUGACGCUGAGGCACGAAAGCGUGGGUAGCAAACAG